rnacentral:rRNA from 1 species
AGUGAACGCUGGCGGUAGGCCUAACACAUGCAAGUCGAACGGCAGCACAGGAGAGCUUGCUCUCUGGGUGGCGAGUGGCGGACGGGUGAGGAAUACAUCGGAAUCUACUUUUUCGUGGGGGAUAACGUAGGGAAACUUACGCUAAUACCGCAUACGACCUACGGGUGAAAGCAGGGGAUCUUCGGACCUUGCGCGAUUGAAUGAGCCGAUGUCGGAUUAGCUAGUUGGCGGGGUAAAGGCCCACCAAGGCGACGAUCCGUAGCGGGUCUGAGAGGAUGAUGAGCCACACGGGAACGGCGACAGGGUCGAGACUCAUACGAGAGGCAGCAGUGGGGAAGAUUGGACAAUGGGCGCAAGCCUGAUCCAGCCAUACCGCGUGGGUGAAGAAGGCCUUCGGGUUGUAAAGCCCUUUUGUUGGGAAAGAAAUCCAGCUGGUUAAUACCCGGUUGGGAUGACGGUACCCAAAGAAUAAGCACCGGCUAACUUCGUGCCAGCCGCCGCCGUAA